GUCUCGGUGGCGCAAUUGGUAAGCUUCCCUGUCACUCAAAAACAACUCCAUCCCAUCAGUUACUAAUUCAAAUAACAGGUUAGCGCGUACGACUGUUAAUCGUGAGGUUGAGAGUUCGAUCCUCUCCCGGGACG